rnacentral:rRNA from 1 species
UACAGAGGUCUCAAGCGUUGUUCGGAUUCAUUGGGCGUAAAGGGUGCGUAGGCGGCGCGGUAAGUCGGGUGUGAAAUCUCGGGGCUUAACUCCGAAACUGCAUUCGAUACUGCCGUGCUUGAGGACUGGAGAGGAGACUGGAAUUUACGGUGCAGCGGUGAAAUGCGUAGAUAUCGUAAGGAAGACCAGUGGCGAAGGCGGGUCUCUGGACAGUUCCUGACGCUGAGGCACGAAGGCCAGGGGAGCAAACGGG